UACGUAGGGCGCAAGCGUUGUCCGGAAUUAUCGGGCGUAAAGAGCUCGUAGGCGGCUUGUCACGUCGGGUGUGAAAGCCCGGGGCUUAACCCCGGGUCUGCAUUCGAUACGGGCAGGCUAGAGUGUGGUAGGGGAGAUCGGAAUUCCUGGUGUAGCGGUGAAAUGCGCAGAUAUCAGGAGGAACACCGGUGGCGAAGGCGGAUCUCUGGGCCAUUACUGACGCUGAGGAGCGAAAGCGUGGGGAGCGAACAGG
rnacentral:rRNA from 1 species